GACGAACGCUGGCGGCGUGCUUAACACAUGCAAGUCGAACGGAAAGGCCCUGCUUUUGUGGGGUGCUCGAGUGGCGAACGGGUGAGUAACACGUGAGUAACCUGCCCUUGACUUUGGGAUAACUUCAGGAAACUGGGGCUAAUACCGGAUAGGAGCUCCUGCUGCAUGGUGGGGGUUGGAAAGUUUCGGCGGUUGGGGAUGGACUCGCGGCUUAUCAGCUUGUUGGUGGGGUAGUGGCUUACCAAGGCUUUGACGGGUAGCCGGCCUGAGAGGGUGACCGGCCACAUUGGGACUGAGAUACGGCCCAGACUCCUACGGGAGGCAGCAGUGGGGAAUAUUGCACAAUGGGCGGAAGCCUGAUGCAGCAACGCCGCGUGCGGGAUGAGGCCUUCGGGUUGUAAACCGCUUUCGCCUGUGACGAAGCGUGAGUGACGGUAAUGGGUAAAGAAGCACCGGCUAACUACGUG
rnacentral:rRNA from 1 species